GAUGAAGAACGUAGCGAAAUGCGAUAAGUAAUGUGAAUUGCAGAAUUCAGUGAAUCAUCGAAUCUUUGAACGCACCUUGCGCUCUUUGGUAUUCCGAAGAGCAUACCUGUUUGAGUGUCAUGAAAAUAUCAACCUUGACUUGGGUUUUGUGCUCUAGUCUCGGCUUGGAAUUGGGUGCUUGCCGCUUUUACGAGCGGCUCACCUUAAAUGUAUUAGCUGGAUCUGUCUUUGAGACUUGGUUUGACUUGGCGUAAUAAGUAUUUCGCUAAGGACAUUCUUCGGAGUGGCCUCGUUUCUAGGACGCUUGUCCGCUUUCCAAUACAAGUUCCACCUCGUGGACAUGACUUUUUAUUAUCUGGCCUCAAAUCAGGAAGGACUACCCGCUGAACUUAAGCAUAUCAAUAAGCGGAGGA
rnacentral:misc_RNA from 1 species